AGUGUGUUCUAUCUGCAAAAGGCGACCUCCCUGAUUAGAUCAUCACAAGUGAUGGGGGAAGGUGGGAAGACUCCAAGAAAAAAAGUAGGUGGUACAGACUGGACAUAAUUGUUAAGAGGAAGAAAGAAGAGAAGGAAUAGAAUCAAACCAGAGAGCCCAGAAAUAUGGAUGGCUUUGAAAGAAAUGCCCCGUGAUUACCUGGAGUCAGAUGGAGCAUCAGCCCAGAAUUCCACAUGAGGAAGUCAUGGGUGCUGGUUUUUUUCACUCUGCACUGCUCCCCAGAAGUUCUCUACAUGAAAGGAUUCAUUUAUUCAGAAUCAACUCUCUUCCCUGUCAAAAUGCAUUAACCAGAACCCUGAAGGUUGAGUGAGGCUGACAGACUCUGACAAUUCCCUCCCAUAGAGACCCCCUUCUGAAGUUGCUGAUCUUCUUUCCCCUUUACCUGCCCCCAUGCUGGAUUCUUGGAUGUGGAUGAUGGGGGAGGUAAUAUGGGAAGAAUUUUAUAUCUUGAGGGAUACUUCUUAUUCUGCGAUUGUAUACUGUGUUUAAAGUCAUUUUAUCUAGGCAGGGGUGAACUACAAAUAGCUUCUCCGUAUCCUUCUGUUCCCUUCUCCUUGCCCUGAGAGACACAAGUAAUAAUUACUUUCUAAA
rnacentral:lncRNA from 1 species